rnacentral:rRNA from 1 species
CCCUUAGAUGUUCUGGGCUGCACGCGCGCUACACUGAUGCGUUCAACGAGUUUUUAGCUUAUCUGAUAAGAUUGGCUAAUCUUCUGAAAACGCAUCGUGAUGGGGAUAGAUUAUUGCAAUUAUUAAUCUUCAACGAGGAAUGCCUAGUAAGCGCAAGUCAUCAGCUUGCGUUGAUUACGUCCCUGCCCUUUGUACACACCGCCCGUCGCUCCUACCGAUUGAAUGGUCCGGUGAAGCGUUCGGACCGCUUCCUUUGGACGGGCAACCGUCUGUUGGUCGUGGGAAGUUCGUUAAACCUUAUCAUUUAGAGGAAGGAGAAGUCGUAACA